rnacentral:rRNA from 1 species
GACAGAGGGGGCAAGCGUUGCUCGGAAUCACUGGGCGUAAAGGGCGCGUAGGCGGCCUUCUAAGUCGGACGUGAAAUCCCUCGGCUUAACCGAGGAACUGCGUCCGAUACUGAAAGGCUUGAAUCCGGGAGAGGGAUGUGGAAUUCCAGGUGUAGCGGUGAAAUGCGUAGAUAUCUGGAGGAACACCGGUGGCGAAGGCGGCAUCCUGGACCGGUAUUGACGCUGAGGCACGAAAGCUAGGGGAGCAAACGGG